UACGUAGGGGGCUAGCGUUGUCCGGAAUCAUUGGGCGUAAAGCGCGUGUAGGCGGUUCGGUAAGUCUGCUGUGAAAGUCCAGGGCUCAACCCUGGGAUGCCGGUGGAUACUGUCGGACUAGAGUACGGAAGAGGCGAGUGGAAUUCCCGGUGUAGCGGUGAAAUGCGCAGAUAUCGGGAGGAACACCAAUUGCGAAGGCAGCUCGCUGGGACGUUACUGACGCUGAGACGCGAAAGCGUGGGGGAGCAAACAGG
rnacentral:rRNA from 1 species